ACGACGUUGAUAGGUCGGGUGUGUAAGUGUAGCGAUACAUUGAGCUAACCGAUACUAAUGAACCGUGAGGCUUAACCUUACAACGCCGAAG
rnacentral:rRNA from 1 species